rnacentral:rRNA from 1 species
GUUUCUUUUACACAGGGAGGGAUUCCAGGUAAUGGAAUCCGGUUCAUGCAGCUUACGGCCCUGCUGUUUUGCUCUUUAGGCGAUGGCUUUGGUCUGCGAGCGCCCAGUAUAUUCGGAAUCGCCCUGGUUCUUAGUGCAGGCAGCAGCGCGUAAUCGAAGUCAAGGUAUCGAUACUGGCUAAAGCGCGCGUAGUGUUGUAGUGGAUUGAAAGCCUGGCUCACCUAGACUGCAUCAAACUACUACUAGAGUACGAUAGAGGAGUAGAUCAUAGUGUAGCGGUGGAAUGCGUAGAUAUAUGAAGAUACCAGUGGCGAAGGCGGCCUCCUGGAUCUGUACUGACACUGAGGUGCGAAAGCGUGGGUAGCGAACAGGAUUAGAUACCCUGGUAGUCACGCCGUAAACGAUGACAACUAGCUGUUGGGAGACAAUGUCUUUCAGUGGCGCAGCUAACGUUUUAAGUUGUCCGCCUGGGGAGUACGGCCGCAAGGCUAAAACUCAAAUGAAUUGACGGGGACCCGCACAAGCGGUGGAGCAUGUGGUUUAAUUCGAUGCAACGCGAAAAACCUUACCUACUCUUGACAUACUUGGAAGCUCUUGUAAUGAGAGUGUGCCUUUUGGAGCCAAGAUACAGGUGCUGCAUGGCUGUCGUCAGCUCGUGUCGUGAGAUGUUCCGUUAAGUCGGAUAACGAGCGCAACCCUUACCCUUAUUUGCCAGCGAUUCGGUCGGGAACUAUAAGGGGACUGCCGGUGAUAAACCGGAGGAAGGUGAGGACGACGUCAAGUCAUCAUGGCCCUUACGAGUAGGGCUACACACGUGCUACAAUGGGGAAUACAGACGGACGCUAAGCCGCGAGGUGGUGCUAAUCCUAGAAAGUUCUUCGUAGUCCGGAUUGGAGUCUGCAACUCGACUCCAUGAAGUCGGAAUCGCUAGUAAUCGCGAAUCAGCAUGUCGCGGUGAAUACGUUCUCGGGUCUUGUACACACCGCCCGUCACACCAUGGAAGUGGAUUGCACCAGAAGUAGAUAGUCUAACCUUCGGGAGGGCGUUUACCACGGUGUGCUUCAUGACUGGGGUGAAGUCGUAACAAGGUAA